rnacentral:rRNA from 1 species
GAUGAACGCUGGCGGCGUGCCUAAUACAUGCAAGUCGAGCGAACGGACGAGAAGCUUGCUUCUCUGAUGCUAGCGGCGGACGGGUGAGUAACACGUGGAUAACCUACCUAUAAGACUGGGAUAACUUCGGGAAACCGGAGCUAAUACCGGAUAAUAUUUUGAACCGCAUGGUUCAAAAGUGAAAGACGGUCUUGCUGUCACUUAUAGAUGGAUCCGCGCUGCAUUAGCUAGUUGGUAAGGUAACGGCUUACCAAGGCAACGAUGCACAGCCGACCUGAGAGGGUGAUCGGCCACACUGGAACUGAGACACGGUCCAGACUCCUACGGGAGGCAGCAGUAGGGAAUCUUCCGCAAUGGGCGAAAGCCUGACGGAGCAACGCCGCGUGAGUGAUGAAGGUCUUCGGAUCGUAAAACUCUGUUAUUAGGGAAGAACAUAUGUGUAAGUAACUGUGCACAUCUUGACGGUACCUAAUCAGAAAGCCACGGCUAACUACGUGCCAGCAGCCGCGGUAAUACGUAGGUGGCAAGCGUUAUCCGGAAUUAUUGGGCGUAAAGCGCGCGUAGGCGGUUUUUUAAGUCUGAUGUGAAAGCCCACGGCUCAACCGUGGAGGGUCAUUGGAAACUGGAAAACUUGAGUGCAGAAGAGGAAAGUGGAAUUCCAUGUGUAGCGGUGAAAUGCGCAGAGAUAUGGAGGAACACCAGUGGCGAAGGCGACUUUCUGGUCUGUAACUGACGCUGAUGUGCGAAAGCGUGGGGAUCAAACAGGAUUAGAUACCCUGGUAGUCCACGCCGUAAACGAUGAGUGCUAAGUGUUAGGGGGUUUCCGCCCCUUAGUGCUGCAGCUAACGCAUUAAGCACUCCGCCUGGGGAGUACGACCGCAAGGUUGAAACUCAAAGGAAUUGACGGGGACCCGCACAAGCGGUGGAGCAUGUGGUUUAAUUCGAAGCAACGCGAAGAACCUUACCAAAUCUUGACAUCCUUUGACAACUCUAGAGAUAGAGCCUUCCCCUUCGGGGGACAAAGUGACAGGUGGUGCAUGGUUGUCGUCAGCUCGUGUCGUGAGAUGUUGGGUUAAGUCCCGCAACGAGCGCAACCCUUAAGCUUAGUUGCCAUCAUUAAGUUGGGCACUCUAAGUUGACUGCCGGUGACAAACCGGAGGAAGGUGGGGAUGACGUCAAAUCAUCAUGCCCCUUAUGAUUUGGGCUACACACGUGCUACAAUGGACAAUACAAAGGGCAGCGAAACCGCGAGGUCAAGCAAAUCCCAUAAAGUUGUUCUCAGUUCGGAUUGUAGUCUGCAACUCGACUACAUGAAGCUGGAAUCGCUAGUAAUCGUAGAUCAGCAUGCUACGGUGAAUACGUUCCCGGGUCU